UUUACGUUAAUUCGAAUAGGUUUUUAGAACACAUCUAUCUCUUUCAUAAUUGGUCAGCACAAUAAUCCACUCUAUAAAUAGGUUAGUUUGUGGUCUUGAUGCAAGAUACCACUACAUACUGCAAAAUGUUAGACACGAUGUCUGUUAUCUGGUGAAUAACGCGAGUGGAGAGCAUCAACAACGCUCUUGUGUCGCAAAACGGAAAGUUAUUGCGAAACGAGGAAACGAUUAUAGAAAUGCAACGCGGCAAAAGUGUAUUAUUUCUUAUUAUGUUGCGCAAAACUGUAACAGAACAGACUUGGUUGUGUGUCGUGAGUUCUAUCGUCAAGCAUUUCCCCAAGGAAAUGUACGUCUGCAUGAUUCGCGCUGAGAAUAAGUCGUAAUUGUACUUCAUUUAACUCGCGAGUUGUUGAGUUGAAAGGGACGUGUAAUUGUGUUCAUCCUUCUUCACCACGUAAACUGAAAAUAUUUUAAACGUGACAGUUUGUCUUGCGAGACACGAUGGAAAAGUUGACGAUAUUGUUCGUUGCUUGCUAGCUUGUUUAGUUUCGCCUUCGUCCGCUGUUGAUCAUUACUCGAACAACUAGAGGUUUAGGUUAGGUUCGAAAUGAAUGCGUGAUUUUUUUCAAAUAGACAAUAAAACGUUAAUUAAUCGUUAAUUUGCAUACGUGUUACAUAAGAUAUAUAAUUUAAAAAAUAACCGUAAAAUUAUGGAAGAGUAAUUUCAUCUUGUUAUUUGAAAAGAAAGUUUGUUGCUAGGUGUAAUUGAACAUACAAACCAAUGGCAAAUUAAUUAUGUAUUGUCUUCCUGGUUGUGUAACAAAAUUUUUUAGUAUUUAAUAAUUACUAUAAUUAUAAAAGAAAAUAAUAAUUGAGAAUAAUAUACUGAAGUAAAAAAAUAGUUCGUUAUUACUUAUAAUUUUAUUAUUACUAUAUUACAUGCCGUUAAAUUCUUUCAUAGAGAACAGAAUUUGAUGAACAUGUAAAAAUGUAUGUUUAGAAAUUUCCAUUGCUAUUCCAUUCAUAUUAUAAAUUACCGUGUAUUACAAAUCCGAGUAAUUAAUUCGCAGAAUUUAUUAUCGACAUUAAUCAAAAUCUACCGUUAUUACUUGGAAGUUGCGUGUCUGAGAAUGGCGAGUGGCAAGGAUAUGAUCUUGUUUACGAUUCCUACGAGCAUUUUGUGUUUCUCGAGUAACGCGCGAUAACAACGAGAAUAAAACGAAACGUUGCUCAAAUGGGGAGGAAGAGGAAAAGACUUUCUCCGAGUGAGAAGAUCCUUAUUCGCUUUCCCUGAUGUAUCUGUCCAUGUUUCUGCAAAGGUUCGCUGUAAGGGCAACAAUGUUGAGAUACAUAAUCAUUAUUAUAUCUCUCUCUAAAACAAAAAUAUCUAAAACAAGAAUAUUUUCAAAUUUUUAUUUGAAAAAAAUUACAAAAAAAUCAUAAGAAAUCAUACAUUAUACAUACGAGUACUUAAGUAUUUCACAUCGUUAAGAUCGAUAUCAUCGAACGAUAUGCGUCCUGCAACGCCUACCUGAUGCUCCAUUAUGUAUAUCAAUGUUAAGGUCGUCUCAUCCCCAGUUGCCGCGUAACGAAACGUAAUGGAAAUUGGUGAUCAUCAACCCGCAAUGUGGGUCAAGUUGAUGUCCGGUUUCGUGAAACUGGAAUACGAGCACCAUGUCAAAGCUACAUCGAAAAGUAGAAUCAUGCAUCGGACACAUGAAACACCUUUCUUUCCCUUUCAAAAUAUGAAGGAAAUGAUCGUGAAACACUCUCUAGCCCGACAGCAACGAGAAAACGAAUAUUUCUUGUUGUGUUUGGCGUGUCUUUCAACGCCAGAACAAAUCAACACGUCAGGUUACAUAACAACUAUUCACCAUAUCGUGAAAAAUAUGCUCGAUAGGUAUAUAUGGAAGACUUUCACAGAUGCUUUAUCGCGGUGAACGGACAGGAAACGCAUUCUUGGAACAGUAUUUAAAAACGAUUAAUUUCUUUUGCAAUGCAUUUUUCUUACGAGAAAUUGAACGUUAAAUCACGUAUCCAAAUAAUAAAAAUUAAGUCUUACAAAGAGUUAAUCGGCUUCUGAUUUAACCUUAAAUCACGAUUUGCCAAUGAUUUAGCCGAUUUUGCUCGCCCAAAAAUAAAGGAAUAAAAGCAUUCGGACCGGUCUACCGAUACACGAAGGUAGGAUCGAUGACGAUCGAAGGCACUUUCCAUGAAAUUCCUCGAGUCGCCUCCCGCCAGGUUUCAUCAUCGUACAACGAAAGAAAUCGAAAACUAUCCGCGUCGAUGCAUUCUUCCAGGUAUCCAGAUACACACGAGUAUUUUUACACGGUCGAGAGGAUAUUCGAAAAGAGCGGUAUUGUGCUCGAGAGCGAAAGUCAUCGGUGAUAUUCACACGUGUCUUAGAUUCCGGUUCUUGGCUGUCCUUAACAUUGAACGGGCUGGUCGUGUCCGACCUUACGUCGGAGAGGAUGUUUUGCAACUUCGAGAUUUCACUUUGAUACCCUGCAUUCUUGCUGGCCACUGGAAUCGUGUCCAUCGCUUUAAUCAGAGGAGAUAUCCUCUAUAGAAAUGGAUUGAUGAUUAAAAAAUGACGUUGCUUUCGUCGAUAAUAUAAUUGAGACACGAUUGAUUAUGGAGAGAAAAUGAAAAAAAAUGUGAAGCUAAUUUGAAUACUGGAUUUUGCAUAUUGCUUGCACGAAAGAUAUCAUUUAUUUAAUUUAUUUUAUUUGCCAAGGUGAAAAAUCAUCCAAAGAUAGAACUCGAAAGUGUGAAAACCAUGAAAUAAGAUUUAUUCUCUUGACCAAACCAUUUCGAAAUUUGAACGAGAAAUGAUCUCGCCACCUUAAUUCGUUCAUUUUCUCGCACCGUGACCCGCGUUCCAAUUUACCGGCAGAAAAUGAAUCGUGAAAGGGAAAGAGGAUCGCCUAAUUAAAAUCACGGCAACGUGCACGCCUUCGUUUCCGUAUCGUGGAAACACGAAUUUAAGGAGGCGUAGAUUCGAUGACGCGAUUGGAAUAGAAAGCGGGCUGGGAGACAAGCCCGCGAUACAUCAACGUGCAACGUGAUGUUAGGAAGGGACGUGUGUAUAAAAAAAAAUCGGCGCCAUAUCGAGCGAGAAGAGUCUGUUACGAUCGAAAAGAGUGUAUUCCGUUUCUACGAUUCGGAUUCGCUUUUACAAAAUUGACUUUCUCUGGGGCCACGGGUGUGUCCCCCAAACCUAUCGACGUGAUCGAGAUCGUUAUUGACGAUCCGGAUUGUCCACGGAUCUGGGAU